UACGUAGGGUGCAAGCGUUAAUCGGAAUUACUGGGCGUAAAGCGUGCGCAGGCGGUAAUGUAAGACAGUUGUGAAAUCCCCGGGCUCAACCUGGGAACUGCAUCUGUGACUGCAUUGCUGGAGUACGGUAGAGGGGGAUGGAAUUCCGCGUGUAGCAGUGAAAUGCGUAGAUAUGCGGAGGAACACCGAUGGCGAAGGCAAUCCCCUGGACCUGUACUGACGCUCAGGAGCGAAAGCCAGGGGAGCAAACGGG
rnacentral:rRNA from 1 species